rnacentral:lncRNA from 1 species
AGCGUCAGUUACCCAGGAAGAGCCUGAGUUCAGAGAGUAGAUGGCAGUUGUCCUGUAUUUUUGCUGGUAUUUGGUUGGUAUCCCCGUAUUCUCCUACACAUAGCCUAUAAACAAAACCUACAUCCCUACCAAGGGAAAAAACCUCUUCUGAUUCCUGCCAUCAAGGCUUUGAAAAAUCUGAGUGCACAAUUUUUUGUUUCAUGCUGUACAGCCGUGCCUCUGAAGUAGUUCCUGAGGUUCUCCACGAACAACACUUUGGGGGUGGAGGAGAAAACAAGUCCCUAAAGAGCAAAC